CCCGUCCCAGUGGUCAGCAGUGUGCUGGGCACCCUGGAGGUCCCGUGUUCGAGCAGCGUUGCGUGCAGGAGGGUGCUCCGUUUUUGAUGUGCGCGCACGAAAAGGGCUGUACGGGAUUGAAACUCCCCCCAGCAGCAAGGUGCGAGGUGAGUCAGCCAAGCGGAGGACUCCUACUGUUGUUUGCGCAAGGAGAAUGUUGUUGGCUAUAAAUAAAGAGAUAGGCACGAGAUUUAAAUUGAGAUUAUUCUUAGCCAAUUAGCCGAAUCUGUUUCUUUUUAUUUUCAAUUGAUUUUUAUGUUGCUCAUUCACUUUUCACAAAAUCUUCUCCCUUAUUCUUAAUUUAUUUAUUCCUUUGAUUUACUUUCCCAAUUAGCCGAAUCUUAAUCUCUUCUCUUUUGAUAACCUCUUCUAUUUUUGUAACCCUUUCUUCUUCGAUUUUCUUUUUGAAAACCAAAAUAAGCAUACCUCAGAAUGAGUUUUAGAAGCCGAAACUAGAUCCUUUGUUGUUAAUUUUCUCUUGGUUCAAACUCCUUCUUCCUUCCAUUAUUUUUAAGACUAUAGCCGAUUGCCUCAAAUCCCGAAAUCCCGAAAACUUGAUUCCUCUUGUACCGAUUUCCUUAGCCAAUUCUCUUAUUUUUCUCAUCAUCUUUGGCCGAUUCUCUCAUCCUCUAAACCCCAAGUUUCUGUCGACAGUACCACAGUAAAACCCUCAUAUUUUAUCUUUCUCUACACUAUUACAAAAAAAGCCGAAAAUCCCACACUAUCCUAGGGACAUAGCCGAAUACUGAGAUCACUGAAGGUUCGACUUUUGUUAUCGUUUGAGGGCUUAGAGCUGCAUCAGAAUCAAGUAGGAACUAAGGGGGGAACGUUGACUGAAAGAAUCGGUGGUAAGUCUUUCCAACUUAGUCUAUCUUUCGUAUUUUAGAAAAAAG
rnacentral:lncRNA from 1 species